AAAAAAAUCACAGAAAAGACGAUGAAAUCAGAAUCUGUUGUCAUGGUGAUUCAAACCUGAGGAUUUGGUUCAUUUUUGAUCAUUUUGUAGAUUCUUUCUGUUCAUUUGUGCUUCAUUUUUCUUAUUUUUGUUCCAACUGUCACUAUUAUAAAACCUCAAUGAAUUAAUGCGAUAAAUGUCAUUUUGUCUGAACUAAAGUGUUGAAGACAUGUUAAGGUCAAAGGUCACGGUAAAUAAAUACGACCCCUGUGGUUUAUAGAACCCUGACCCGGUUCAUAUUCACAUUUAUCAGAUUAAACACAGACGACUGAUAAAUAAACAUGUGACAUUAGAACUAGAAUAAACCAUAAUGUAUUUUAUACUGGACAUACAUGGAAAACCCCAAAGCAUCAUGGUCUGAAACAUCUAGACGUUCAACACCAGAACAUCAGCACAUCUUCAUGCACUGAUUUAGGGGCGGAACCGAUAGAAGUGGACACAUGGUCCAUGUUGGACCAGAUGAAUGUGUCUUUUAUUAAUGAUGGAUUUUCUUUAAACAUCUAAAACCAGAUGAUUUAUUCAAUUAUUUGUAUGAACAUUAUUUCUUUGUUGUGUUAGCCUUAGCAUUAGCAAUAGCACUAGCGGUAGCGUUUUAAUGUGACUGUGGAUUCCAGGCGCUUAAAUACAGAUGGAACCAGAACCGGACCUGGACCUGAGCAGGUUCUGGGUUUAUUUAGGACAUUUACAUGAACCUGUGGAUGAGCCCACGUAAACACACAGAGUCUCUGAAGGUUCUGAAGGUUCUUCACCUUCACUGAACCUCCGUCCUCUUUGUCCAGAAUAAAGUCUGUCCUCAUUCUGUCCACACUGCCAUCAUACCAGUCCAGAACCAGAACAAAACCGAAAACACAAGAUGAAACCACUGAUCUGGAUAACAGACCAACACCUGGUCCAGAUCUGGUUCACUGAUCCUCUGGUCCCAGUCCAGACCCAGUCCACUGAUCCUCCAGUCCCGGUCCGGUCAAAAGUCCGUUCAGUCCUGUGGGUUCUUUUCCAGUUCAGGACAUAAAAUGGUCGAAUCAAAGACAACAGUUCAACCUUUUACCAGAAACAAUAAACAAACA